AAAGUUUUAUACAACGGUUGGUUCUAAUCCUGAAUGUUGAUUGGUUAAAACCGCAUUCCAGCCGGUGUCUAUUCCAUAAGUUGCCACCGGCUAAAUCUGACGUUAAAAUGCCUAUUUACUCUGUUUAAUCUGACUGCUGCAAUCCACUGUCUCAUCAGCCCAGCCAGGCAAUUUAUGAACUUGAUGUCAGUCUUUGGUCGAGUCCCUCCCAGUCUGAUUGCCAUUAGAAUCAGUCUCAGGUCGAGUCCCUCCCAGUCUGGUUGCCAUUAGAGUCAGUCUUAGGUCGAGUCCCUCCCAGUCUGGUUGCCAUCAGAGUCAGUCUCAGGUUGAGUCUGACCCCAUCUGGUUGCCAUUAGAGUCAGGUCUACUCCCUCCCAAUCUGGUUGCUUUUUGAGUCAGUCCCAGGUCUAGUCCUUCCCAAUCUGAUUGCAAUUAGAGCCCAGUCAGUCUCAGGUCGAGUCCUUCCCAAUCUGGUUGCCAUUAGAGCCCAGUCAGUCUCAGGUCGAGUCCUUCCCAAUCUGGUUGCCAUUAGAGCCCAGUCAGUCUCAGGUCUAGUCCCUCCCAGUCAGUCUCAGGUCAGUCUCCCCAGUCAGUCUCAGGUCGAGUCCCUCCCAGUCAGUCUCAGGUCAUGUCCCUCCCAGUCAGUCUCAGCUCGAGUCCCUCCCAGUCAGUCUCAGGUCGAGUCCCUCCCAGUCAGUCUCAGGUCGAGUCCCUCCCAGUCAGUCUCUGGUCAUGUCCCUCCCAGUCAGUCUCAGGUCAUGUCCCUCCCAGUCAGUCUCAGGUCGAGUCCCUCCCAGU
ensembl:lncRNA